UACGUAGGGGGCUAGCGUUGUCCGGAAUCAUUGGGCGUAGAGCGCGCGUAGGCGGCCCGGUAAGUCCGUUGUAAAAGUCAAAGGCUCAACCUUUGAAAACCGAUGGAUACUGCCGGGCUCGAGUCCGGAAGAGGCGAGUAGAAUUCCUGGUGUAGCGGUGGAAUGCGCAGAUAUCAGGAGGAAUACCCAUAGCGAAGGCAGCUCGCUGGGACGGUACUGACGCUAAGGCGCGAAAGCGUGGGGAGCGAACAG
rnacentral:rRNA from 1 species